GACCCCGUGCACUUGCCAACUAACCAUACCAUUACCACCAGCCGCUGCAGAAGUUCGCGCACCGUCGUCGCGCGUCCACCGGGAAGCGGGUGUGGCUGGGCUCGCUCCUCGUUAGGGUUCGUCGUGAUCGCUACAGAAUCGGGUGUGGCCGGAUCGGAGUCUCGACGUGGAUCUCCUCAGCGAGUAGUGGUUGAAGUCUGCUCGGUCUACCGCUUGUCCAGGGGUGAGUUUUUCCCUACCUGUUGAUUGUAGCCAUGUAGGCUAGGAGCAGUGGUGUCCAGGCGGUAGUUAGGGCUCGAAUGGUGAGCUCGGUGCAGCUCGUUGCCGCGUCUGUGGAGCUCGUCCACGAUGGAAUAACUGAGGAAAGAAAUAGAAGAGAGAGGGAGGAUCGGGAGGUUGAAGAUGAUGGCAGGGCCGUAGAUUGUAAAGCCAAUGGUGCAGAUUAAGUCAAGGCGCGCAGUGUUGACCGGUGUAGGGGAAGAGUGCCUGCGGCGUGCGGGCCGUCGACUCUGUGAUGUAGGGCCCGGAUUAGAUGAUGACAUAAAGUUUCGCCGGGUGGUUUGUGACCGUUGAUCUGAUCACGUACGUGCAGGAUUAGAUCGCUGUGUACCCCUUCGUUCUUUUGAUCCGAGACGUUGAUCGGUGAUCCGAUGGGUUAGAUCGGAUCAUGCCUUAAUAAAACCCACGCCGUUGGAUCUUUAUCCAACGGUGACUGCUGUGUACCGCUUCAUCAAGUGAACAGAUCUAAUCUGUGCCGCCAGGCAUGGAUCCAACGGUCUAGAAUGGCGCGUACCCCUUCGCUUCGGGAUUUAUUCAAAAGAGACCCUAUAAUAUUUACUAAUUGACCCGCCGUCCAACCUAGUGGUAAAGUAAUUAUAGAAGAGCCCUGGAUUUUACAAACUGAACCCCGAGCUACUCAGUAUUUGUGCGCACAGUCCAGGAAACAGAGAAAAUAGGAAAAAUGAUAAUAUGAAUUUAUUUUUAGUACAAAAAUAAAUCUAGAACCUUGUAUAAUUCAUAGAAAAUUCAUAUGAACUCCAAAUUGAUCCAUUCCAAUUUCUAUAAUUCUAUAUUAUUAUUAUUUAUCAUAUAGUACCUCUGUUUUGACAUGAAAGUCACAUCAAAAUUUAUAGCUUAUUUAAUCUUGUACACAACACAUAGAAUCCUUAGGAAAUUCAUAACUUCCCCGUUUUAACUCCGAUUUGAUCCGUUCAAGUUGCGUUAGUCUCAUAUAAAUAUUUACUAUGCAAUAACAACAUUUAUUAUACCAUGUCUCAUUAUUUAUAGAUCUGUAUUUAACUUAUGUUGGUUAGCCUUGUAAUAUGCUCAUCUACUAAAAUAUGAUCUAUGGUCAAUUAAUAAUUUAGAUUAAAGUUGAAUUAAUUACUACUAUAGGUUACCUUUUCUCUGGGAUUAUAAAAUAAACAUAGAACCUGGUGUUAAUCAUUUAAUCACAUCAUAACUUGAUGACCACGACUCCGAUCUUAGUAGUUCUUGUUGGGGACUUGUUCUCAAGUGCUUCGGAAUUAAGAACAAGGCAACACAAAAUGUUAAAUGUUAAUGUCCUUCGUCCUUUGAACCAUUAUUUCCAUUAGGAUAUAAUGGUCUUCAGACGAAGGUUAUAAAGGACGUACCUUCAUCAUCGUAAUGUAAAUUGAUGAAAGAAGAAGCAUAUGAAAUACGCGAGACAACAUGAAUAAUCAUAUGACAUCAUUAAUAUACCUUCCUCUUAUUAAUCAUAGAUAAACAGGAACAAUAUUGAAUUACAUCUGUACCUUCGGCUUGAUAGAAGGUAAAUGUGUGAGCGUGACGCACGAGCGAAUACCAGUCAACGUGAACAGUACGGGGGAACUGUUCUUCUAUUUAUAGGCAUAGGACACAGCCUGUGAGAAAUUACAUUCAUGCCCUUUACAUUCAUUGUUAACUAAUAGUCAACUCUAUGAGGACUAGAUAGCCUUUCCCCCUUUAAGUCGGUUCCUUUCUCCGCCAUUUAGCCGAAGCUCCCUCGCACGUAGCUUCGGAGCAAUUCCAACCUUCGUCGCGAUCAUGCUUUUAGCUCGAGUCCGAAAGUACCUGUUCAUAUGCUACACUUGGAAGGUUUUUGUUAGGUCUCGUUUUUUAGGACCUUCAGAGGACGAAGUCCCCCAACAGUAGCCCCUUGCAGUAUUAAUUUGUUUAAGAUAACGAAUUCAGACUGCGAUAUGGACGAAGACCUUAAGCCAAAGGUCCAAAAAAACACCUUCCCUUUGCUAGAAUAGCAACAGUCAAUGACAGGCGGGGCCCCUUGGUUUGGAGCGCGUCGAGCGUAUAAAUAAGAGUUCGCACCAAGCUCAUUUGGUACACUGCCUGUGCCAUUUGCUUUAUUUUCUCAAUUUCAUAGCUGUUGCUCACUAACACUUGCUAGUUUUUCAAAGCCUUUUAAGCUUCGGUUUGAAAAACAUAGUUUUGUCAUCUCUGAAGGAAAGAAUGUCUCAGGACAAGAAGGUUGCCGCUGAGACAAAGCUUGCUAAAGAGGAGAAGCUUUUUGAGGAGAAGAAGGCUGUGAAUCCAUACAUUGCUGGAUUUAUCGAGUCAAUGGCAAAAACAAAUACAGAAAAGAUUACUAAGGAGAUAUUGGAGGGCCUGUCUGAAAAUACUAGUGACAGUGACAUUUAUGAUGUAGAAAGUGGUGGCGAAGAUUCUAAGGAUCAACCCUGGAGACCAAGCCAUACCAUUUUCAGAAAAUCUUCCAUUAAGCAAAGUCACCUCGAAAACAUGAGGGGAAGAUACUUUCGAGAUAUGUCUAUUGUGAGGCUGGCGGAGACAACAACGUCCCAGCCCCUGAGGAAAACAAAGUUGUGAUUUUUCGAAGCUUCUUCAAAGCUGGGAUUUGGCUUCCGCUGAGUAAGUUUGUAGUUGAAGUAUUGAAGACCUACCAAGUUUUUCUUCACCAGCUGACCCCCGAAGCUAUAUUGAGGAUGGGAAUCUUCGUCUGGGCAACAAGAAGCCAAGGGAUAGAACCAAGUGCGAAGUGCUUCUGUAGCAUGCACAAACUUUUGUAUGAGACAAAGGCCACGGGAAAGAACAGUAUCAUAAUAACUUCGAUUGUUAUGGGUCUAUUGCCCACCCCAAUGCAAGCUACCCGGUGCCAACAUUCCGGAAAAGGUGGUCCAGAACCUAGAUGGAGGAAUGGUUUUACGUGAAGAAUGACUUAAAGGCAAGAGAAGAUAUUAAGGAAGUUAUUAUGCACCCCAUUUGGUCCCGCUUCGGCCUCCGAAGGCUGAAGGUUGAAAUGGAUGAAGCCGCCGAAGCAUGCCAGAAGGCGUUUGGUACUGUCUGUUUUUUCAUUGGUACAAGAGACUUAAUCCAAGAGCAUAUAGCCUUCAGAGUAUGGCCGCUUGUAGAGAACCGGGAAAUGCUGAAGAAAACUGUCACCGAAUCAAGCGAAGGUGAGCUAGUUCGGAAGAAGUAUACUUUCAAUUAUGGGGAUAAAUUCGACGAGCCAAACGAUGACUGGUUAAAAUGCAUUGAAGUAACAAGUGAUGAACUGCUUGGAUCAUAUUCCAAGGCAGAAGAUAAUGCAUUGUCCACAGUCUUCGGAAGUCGGGGAAAUAAGAGAUUGAAUAGAGUUUUUGACGCUAUUGGCUUCGUCUAUCCCGACUACCGUUAUCCGCUGCGGGGGCAAGGGAAAAAGAGGAAAGCUACUGCUGCGGUCGCCUCGGCCGAUCCUGUGCCGAAGGCUACAAGCAAAAAGAUGAAGGUACUUACCCACCGGCCACGCUAUAUUGAACCAGCCGUGGUGCUUGAGUUUGGCGGGGAGGCUUCUUCAGCUGCUGAAACAAGAGAACUCGUUCCUCCAACACAGAAGACUGAAGAGCCUGUUAUAAUGCAGAAGGUACCCUCAGCUGAGCUGGCUGAGUUAAAGACUGAUUAAAAUAAAGCUGAAAAGCCAAAUAUUGAAGAAACAAAAGCGCUAGGAAUUUUAAGCCCUUUACCAGAAGUAACAGUAUCGAGGGCACAAAAAGGUUCUGCCGCAACUCCCAAGAGGAGAAGGAUGGCAAAUGUACUAGAUGUGUUAGAAUCAGUAAAGACUUUGAGCUCUACUCCUUCAAGGAAAGUUGCCAAGGCUUCAAAAGUGCAAACUGAAGCUGAAACAAAACCGGCUGAAAUUGAAGCUGCAAUAAUCCAAGCUGAUACCAAAGUUGGGCCUUCAGAGCCCGCUGAGAAAAAGCCUUCGGAAAUUGAAGAAAGGGCAACAGAAGAAAGGGCCACAGAGCGAAUUUCGCCUAAAGAGGUUACCACUCCUGCUCCUGAAGCUUUAAAAGAGACCAUUGAUUACAUCAUCCGCCAUGCUUCGGGAAAGGGACUCUCUAAGGAAGGAGAACGAGAGGCUCAACAUUAUGCCCAAAAACUGAAAUACCCGAAGGGGGUAUUAGUGUUCAAUGGCAGUGGGUAGGAAGAUUUUUUAUACUGUCUCCCGGAUAAUAAAGAAAUAUCCAUAUGUCAGGAGAUGGGUAGAAGCUUCGGAUUUCCGAAGCUAGAAGAAGGCCUUUCAGUGUUAUCAAAGGAUGAAUUGGCUGACAGUUUAGCAUAUAAUAGCAUAAAGGUAUAAAAGCUAAUUUUGUAUUUGAAAACGAAUUGUUUCAUUUGCUUAUACUUGAUCUUAUCCUCCUCUUGCAGGGCCUAAUCCUUAGCAAUGCCCUUAGAGCACAGAAAAACAUUGAAGAUAAAGGGUAUACAAUGGCUCUGAACAACCUUCGUUCAGAGGUGAUUGAACUAAGGAACGAAGGCCUUGAAAAAGACAAGAUAUUAAUUUCAUUGAUAAACAAAAUAAAAGAAGACGACGCUAUCUUCAAGGCUCAAGCUGAGGUUCAAAAGAAUGAGAUCGAAGAGCUUCGGAAACAACUAGCAGAAGCCAAGGAAAAAUGCGCUGUUGCAGAAGCUGAUCGAGAGGCCAGCGAAUAUUGGAAAAAUUAUUUUGAAAAAAUAGUUGAAGAACUUCGCGCAUCCAAGGAGAGAUGUUUUGAAAAUCUUUGGGCUGCAUGAAGAAGAUAAAAGCUAGCUUCGCCAACAUAGGUGCCUAUUCAAACGAAGAUAACUUCAUACGAGGCGACCCUGAGGGUGUUAUCGAGUAGAUCAACGGAGAAGCCGAAGCUUUUGAAGAGAUUUUAGGUGAUCGUGGGGAUGUCUGUGCGUUCUCUGGUGCGAGAGGAGUUUCAGCUAUCUUGGAGAAGGCGGGUUGUAAUCAUGUUAAAACCUUGGCCCAGGCCGAAGCUGCCCUCUCUGUGGAUGACACAAAGGAUCCCUCGACCGAAGCAAGUUUUCUUGGCGGAAAAUUUUUCACUGACAUCUGGGAGAAUGGUGGCAGAGAAAUGGCCCACGAGAUAAUUAAGAAGAGCGAAAAAGAUAUUCAUGACGCUCUAGAAGCAGCGAAAGAAACUGAGAAAGCUGCAGAACUCGAGAGACGGAUAGCUGAAUUACCUCCUCCACCGGAGCCGUUCUACCCCCUGGCCGACCCGGAGACAAAGAAAGCAAUAGAAAUUAUCAACAUAGCUGAAUCUAUUGUUGACGAAGUCGUCAACAAGUUGCUUAACGAAGUUGCGGAAAAAGUUCUAAAGGAAGAGUAGUAGUUAUUGUAAAAACGUUCUUAGGUGAUUAUUGUAACAUUUGUUGGACUAAGUCUGUAAUAUUUAAUGUGUAUAGUUUUAAAUCUAAUAUGUAAACUCUUCUGCAAUUCACUUCUUUGCGAUGCAUGAAACUUUUUAUAUACAUACCGUUUUUGAGCCCUCGGCGAAAAAACACCUUCCCUUCUUUUCAUGCUUCAUAAAGAAGAAUACUUAUGCUUUGUGAGAAUAUCCGUACUUUGUAAAGAGCAUCCAAGCUUCGUAAAAAUAUCAAUGCUUUGUGAACAAUA